UAUACUUCAAAUAAUGUAUUGUCCAUUUCUUAACUUGGUUUUCAUUUUUGGGUCAAAAAUCAGUCAGUUUUAUCUCUGCGGGAUCAAUUAGAAAUGUUCAAAGAAUACAUAAGAAAGUUGAAAAUGAUGGUUGGAGAAGAGAGAACAAACACCAUUUUAAGCAAAAGCCUAUUUCUAGUGGUAGCAGGCAGUGAUGACAUUGCCAAUUCAUACUUUGUCAGCGGUGUUCGGAAAAUCCAGUAUGAUGUUCCGGCUUACACUGAUCUCAUGAUCGCCUCGGCUUCUUCUUUCUUCAAGGUAAUUUUAACCGCCAUGAAAAAAUCUGGAAUCAUCCCUGCUUUUCCAUUUUGCAGUUCAUAGCAUACCAUUCUUAUCUUCUAUUGACCAAUUUGAAGGAAUUGUAUGGAUUGGGGGCGCGAAGAAUAGUUGUUGGCAGUGCACCUCCAUUGGGGUGUCUGCCAUCACAGAGAAGCUUAGCAGGAGGGAUACUAAGAGAGUGUGCCGAGGAUCACAACGACGCAGCGAAACUGUUCAAUACUAAGCUCUCAUCUCAAUUGGAUUCUCUCAACGCCAAUUUUCCCCAGGCAAAGUUUGUCUACAUUGAUAUUUACAAUCCCUUUCUUGAUCUCAUCCAAAACCCUCAAAAAUCAGGUAAUUCCUUUGAUGGGUAUUGGGAAAACCCCUAUCCUCUUUGCUCUAGAAUCUCUGGCCUAUAUGCCAACUGAUUUCAAAAACCGUUUUACUACAUUUUAAGAAAAAAUAAUUUAUUUCAGGGUUUGAAGUGGUGGAUAAGGGUUGCUGUGGCACAGGGAAAAUAGAGGUGGCAGUACUAUGUAACCCAUUUAGUCCAUUUACCUGUGAAGACGCGUCAAAUUAUGUAUUUUGGGACAGUUAUCAUCCUACAGAAAAAGCAUACAAGGUUCUAAUUGGUGAAAUCAUCCAGAAAUGUGUGGACAGCUUCUUCUGAUCAAACUGGUCGACUUCCUGAUAUCUCUUUAGUCUCCAACCCAUGCAUAUUUGGCAAGCUCCACUGCCUUCAGUUAUUUGUAAUGGUGAAAGUGAAAAUUUUCCUUCUCUGUUUUGUAAUCACAGCUAAACGAGCUACUAGGGUAUACUAAUGUGUGUUCAAAAUAGAAUUGCUUGAUUUUCAUAAUUUGGUAUAUGUAUUAAAUUAUAAUAAUAUCAUGAUAUCCAGGCAUCAUGCGUCUCAUGUCUUCCUGUACUCCACUCAAGUUGAUACUUGUUAUAAUGGAAAUCGUUAGCAUUAAUCAUCCAAGAAGGGCAACUUCCAGAAAAUGUUAGACCAUUAGAUACAGUUGCAUUCACAUGGAUGAAAAUUAUAUAAAAAUAAAAAUAAUAUUUGAUUCCUUUUUGAAAAAAUUGAAAUCAACUUGUACCACAUAUGAUUCCAAUAUUACCAUUAUCAAUUGCCUACGUAUUCCUAUCCCACAUUUAAAUGUCAUUCAUAAUAAAUUGUACCUAAAUUGAAGGUGUUUGUAAAGUUAAACUAAUCCCUUCUAAUUUUUUUUGUUAGUCCGAGGACAUCACACUCGUUUAUGAGAAGUUGAAGACAAUAUCUUUCGAUAUAUUGUUUAUGUGGGACCGUGGGUCCUUGGGUGAAAGUCCUUAAGGCCCUUGAGAAAGACAAGAAAGACACUUUGAUGUGGGUGUAUGAGGUUGGUCCUAUCUCUGAGUUUUAGUCCCUAAAGACACAGGAUUGGUCUUAUCCUUGGGUUGUAGUCCCAAAAGACACAAGAUAUGACUUAUUAUUAGGUGAUAGUCCUAAAAUAUUCAUUAUUUAUGACUAAGUAUCUUUUGGAACAUUGAUGGUUGAUAUGAAUAUUGGUGGGGUUGGCAACUUAUCAGGUGUAAGAGGAUGGAUGAGGCAAAGUAUAAAUAAAACCAUCAACAACAUGUAUACAUGUUGACAUUAUUGCACAUUUAUUAAUGGUUAAUAAUUGUAUAUUAUGCAUGCUAUUAUAUGUUUAAUUCAAGUUUUUUUAAGAAUAUUCAUAGGACUGUUAUAAACUUUCCUACUGAGUUAUGAACACACUUUACCUCUUUUAUCUUUAGAUGUAGGUUAGAAAACAUUUGUUGGGAUUAAUGCUUGAACAUUGUUUUUUUUGUUGAUUGGAUGUUGUUUUGCUUUUGUGUUGAAAGUGUUUUGAGGCUUUUGCUUUUGUACCCUACAAAAACUAAAUCAUUUUUAAAGGAAUGAUGUAAUAUAUAUUUGUUUUUGUACACUUGUAGUAUGAGCUACCUUUAGUAAACCAUGAGGUUUUGCUAUGUACAAAGUAAUGUGGCACUGGUUUUCUUUUGUGAAAUAGAUCAUAUUUUGUUAAUUAAUAGUUACAAAGUUUCUCACAUGAUGUAUACUUCUUUAUAACAGGUUUCCACAUCCUCAUUUUGCACAAAAUCAACUAGAAACUCAACACUUAAAUUUUUUUCUCCCUCUAGUUUUGGCAGCACUAAUUUUAUAUUUGAGUAUUAAUUAGCAACUCUGGAAUCUAGGGUAUAAUAUUAUUAUAAUAUUAAAUUUUUUAAUCUAAUAAGGAAAGUUAUUAGGAAUAUCUUUAUAAAUAUUUUAAGUCAUAAGGAGAAAAAGUUAUGAAAUGAAAAUGAACUUAUAAAGAUUAUAAAGGGGGAUAAAAAUGUGAGGAAAAAUGAGAGAUACUUGGUGUAGAGCGAACGAAUUCAUGAUUCAUGGUUUAAAUACAAGGAGCGGGAAAACAUGAUAUGUUUUGGAAUCUAAUAGUUUUAUCUAAUUUAUAUAUUCUAUAAUAUUCUCUAUAUUAUAGUAAAAUGAUUCUUUCUCAUCUUUGGAUGUAAAUAUUAUUGGUCAAACCAUAUUAAAAUCUUGUAUAUCUUUGUGUGGAUUGUUCUAUCUUUGUAUUAACUAAUAUCAUUUGUAUUAAAAUUUCUCCUAACAAAAUUGUUUGUUGCAUAUUUAACCAUUUCUAUUCGAACAUGGACUUUUUUACAUUCAUCCACACUUAUCUAAGAGCUUAACCAUCUAGAGAUACAUAGUGGAGCUUGACCCACUCCACACGACACACCUAUCUAGGGCCUUGACUCAUCCUGAGGCUUAUAGAGGUUUCUAACAAUCUAUUACCUCACACACUCAUUAUAAGAUCAUUUUUCAACAACCAUUUUCAUAAAAGCAGUAUUAUCACAUAUUAACAAUGGUUUCAUAUGUAAAGUUAAUAUAAAGGGUUGUUUUUUUUUUUUUUUUUUUUUGUGUGGCUCAGUAAUUACGCAGCACUCGAUCCCUUAAAGAAAAAGUUUUGCUUAAAUGAAAGGUUUGAAUGCAAUUUUAAUUUUGGCGCAAGAGCUGGUGAAGUCGGCCUUGCUUUCCAUUGGGUGAAUGAUUUAAUAGGCCACAAAGCUCGUAGUCAUCAUUUAAACCAAAUAAACCAAACCCAUCACAGCUGCAGGGUUCUUAGUUCUUGUUGUUAGUUAGCUACCUAGCUGUCCAUUCCAUAUGAUUGAUUCAUACAUAAUUACGAAGCUUAAUCCAGUGCACUUGGAUUGAGACGUAAAGCAAAUAUGAUAAGUACCCAAAAUUAAGACGCUUCAGUGUUGAGUCACAUUAUAAUGAAUUGAAUCAAACAACCAUUCCACCUACUUGAGCUUUUCUUCCCAUCAAAUGGUCGAGAAGGCCACGCACUGGAACCACAUAAAAUCCCUGAACCCUGUAUACAAUCUACGAUCUAAAUCAAACGGUUGAAAGAGCCACCCACUGGUCCCAAAAGGCCUCCCCUUGACCAGGCUUCACUCCCUCCUAUGAAUGAGGAAUCUAAAUCAAAAUAAAGUCGACAUACAUCAUUUUAUUUUAUCCUCCAUGCAUCACACAUAGCGAGGAGGAUCGUGCCUUAUUAAGGGACCCAUUUCAAACUAAGCAGCCUGUAUAAAGUCCAUCUGUAUCCAAUUAAACUUAUUCACAUGGAUUCAUUAAAUCAUGGAGAAUUAUGAGAUGGACCAUGUUACAUAUACGUUGGCUGAUGCUCACUCACGGACUCAAUGAUCGAUAUUCACCUGAAAAGCAAAGUCUCCGGAGUCAUAUUAUCACACCUGCCUUGCAUUUUUACAUAUAUGAUUUUGUAUAACCAUUUAGCAAAGAACCCAAGGAAAUUGCCGUAUAGAAGCGGUGGCCCAACUACUUGACUACUUGUCUGCACGAUAUCAACCCCUUCUUCAUCAACACAUUAUUAUUAUUAUUGAAAAAUCUUUAUCCACUGCAUGUGGAGUAGUUUAUUAACGUCCACAUAUUUCAUUCAUUGCGUCUAGAAAACGACAAAAUCAGGAUCACCUUAUAUACGAGGCCGGGCAGAGGGCAUAGAAUACAGACAAGUGAUCACUUUCUCCAUCUCGUUUCUUAUAGCUUGGAGAAACACAACAAAAACUUUCCAAGCCCAAUGGUGUUUCUUUCUAUGGAACUGUGGUCGUCUUCUUCGAUUAUUGUUUUCUUUCUUUCUGUUUUUAUUAUUUUAUGUACCACAGAAGCUCUCGUAAAGCUACCGAGGAACGAAACAGUUCCAGCAGUGCUAGUUUUCGGAGAUUCGAUAGUGGAUCCGGGCAAUAACAACAAUCUUAAUACUCUGGUUAAGUCCAAUUUUCCACCGUAUGGGAGGGACUUAAUGGGAGGAGUUCCAACUGGAAGAUUUAGCAAUGGAAAAAUUCCGUCUGACUUCAUUGGUAUGUCCAUUCUAUUUUUUACGUGGCCUUAUAUUUCAUGAUAUGGAAGUAUUUUGUUUCCUGAUAUCAUGUCAUGUUUUGCAAAAUGAGAAAUAUUUAUAUUUGGUAUGUUUUGAAAAAGGAAAUACAGAAAGCAACUCUGCUAUCGGAUAUGUCUUGUUCUAAACUAUGUUUUUCGAUUCAGCCAUCUAAGAAAAUUUCCCUUUUUCCUUUUUCCUUCCUGGUUAAUUUUACGUACAAGCAUGGUUCUGUUGGAAUUAAAUAAAGGAUACCCAAAUCAGACUUGGAGCUCAUGAUCAGGAUAUCAAGUACUUUCAUUUUUCAAUGCAAAACGAAGGCCAAUGGGAUCCUUCUGUGGAUUGAUCAAAUGCUUUUCUCCAUGGAGUUUUACCGGUUUGAGUAGUUGGGCCUACGUGACCCGGAUGGUUUGGGAUUUUGAUUUUCAUAAUUUUCCAAACCGGUUAAGUUCAUUAGUGAUGGUGUUUGGUAACUCUACAAUUUUCCGUGGAAUAAUUCUCGAAUCAAAAUAUGGUCCUUUCCUUUUGGAUGUAUGGAAUAUGUAAUGUGAGUAAAAUUAACUUUAUUUUCUCUCAAAAUUUUAGCUUAGUGAUAUGAUAUAACAGUUACAAAAUAAUUAUUUUGUAUUCUCAGCCGAAGCAUUGGGAAUCAAAGAGCUAGUGCCACCAUAUUCUAACGCGGCUCUUCAACUUGGUGAUCUCCUGACCGGAGUGAGCUUCGCCUCAAGUGGCUCAGGAUUUGAUCCUAUGACACCUAAGCUUGCGGUAUAUCAAUUUCCCUCCACAUAUAAUUUAUACUUCAAAUAAUGUAUUGUCCAUUUCUUAACUUGGUUUUCAUUUUUGGGUCAAAAAUCAGUCAGUUUUAUCUCUGCGGGAUCAAUUAGAAAUGUUCAAAGAAUACAUAAGAAAGUUGAAAAGGAUGGUUGGAGUAGAAAGAACAAACACCAUUUUAAGCAAAAGCCUAUUUCUAGUGGUAGCAGGCAGUGAUGACAUUGCCAAUUCAUACUUUGAUAGCCGUGUUCAGAAAUUCCAGUAUGAUGUUCCGGCUUACACUGAUCUUAUGGUCACCUCGGCUGCUUCUUUCUUGAAGGUAAUUUUAAUUGCCAUGCAAAACCCUGGAAUCAUCCAUGCUCUUCCAUUUCCAACUCAUAGGAUACCGUUCUUAUCUUCUAUUAAACAAAUUGAAGGAAUUGUAUGGAUUGGGGGCACGCAGAACAGUUGUUACUAGUGCACCUCCAUUGGGGUGUCUGCCAUCACAGAGAAGCUUAGCAGGAGGGACACAAAGAGAGUGUGCUGAGGGUCACAACGAAGCAGCGAAGCUGUUUAAUUUUAAGCUCUCAUCUCGAUUGGAUUCUCUCAACGCCAAUUUUCCCCAGGCAAAG
rnacentral:lncRNA from 1 species